CCUACGGGAGGCAGCAGUGAGGAAUCUUGGUCAAUGGACGAGAGUCUGAACCAGCGAAGUAGCGUGAAGGAUGACUGCCCUAUGGGUUGUAAACUUCUUUUAUAUGGGAAUAAAAUGUUCCACGUGUGGGAUUUUGUAUGUACCAUAUGAAUAAGGAUCGGCUAACUCCGUGCCAGCAGCCGCGGUAAUACGGAGGAUCCGAGCGUUAUCCGGAUUUAUUGGGUUUAAAGGGAGCGUAGGUGGAUUGUUAAGUCAGUUGUGAAAGUUUGCGGCUCAACCGUAAAAUUGCAGUUGAGACUGGCAGUCUUGAGUACAGUAGAGGUGGGCGGAAUUCGUGGUGUAGCGGUGAAAUGCUUAGAUAUCACGAAGAACGCUGAUUGCGAAGGCAGUUCACUGGACUGCAACUGACACUGAGGCUCGAAAGUGUGGGUAUCAAACAGGAUUAGAUACCCUAGUAGUC
rnacentral:rRNA from 1 species